AGAAUUUUUCUCAAUGGGGGAAACCCUGAAGGAGCGACGCCGCGUGGAGGAUGAAGGUCUUCGGAUUGUAAACUCCUGUCAUUGGUGAACAAGGCCAUCGGUUAACUGCCGUUUGGUUUGAUAGUAGCCGAAGAGGAAGAGACGGCUAACUCUGUGCCAGCAUCCGCGGUAAUACAGAGGUCUCAAGCGUUGUUCGGAUUCAUUGGGCGUAAAGGGUGCGUAGGUGGCGGGGCAAGUCUGGUGUGAAAUCCCGGGGCUCAACCCCGGAACUGCACUGGAUACUGCUUUGCUAGAGUACUGGAGAGGGAACUGGAAUUUACGGUGUAGCAGUGAAAUGCGUAGAUAUCGUAAGGAAGACCAGUGGCGAAGGCGAGUUCCUGGACAGUUACUGACACUGAGGCACGAAGGCCAGGGGAGCAAAC
rnacentral:rRNA from 1 species